rnacentral:rRNA from 1 species
GACGAACCGUGCGAACGUUGUUCGGAAUCACUGGGCGUAAAGGGCGCGUAGGCGGCCCGGUAAGUCGGGGGUGAAAUCCUGCGGCUUAACCGCAGGGCUGCCUUCUAAACUGUCGGGCUCGAGCACGGUAGAGGCAGAUGGAAUUCCUGGUGUAGCGGUGAAAUGCGCAGAUAUCAGGAGGAACACCGGUGGCGAAGGCGGGUCUCUGGGCCGAUACUGACGCUGAGGAGCGAAAGCGUGGGGAGCAAACAGG